AGAAAGUCAGUAAUGGCUUAAAGUGACUGAAAUGUGCUCCGAAUUUAAGUGAGAAUGUGGAAGUACGUUGAACAGUUCGUGUCUUCACUAUUGAACUGUCAUACUGGCUCUGAACAAACAAGAUCAAGAACAACACAGACACAUCAAGAAAAUAAUGACGGUAUAGUGUCAGUGAAGAUGAAAGCAGACAGCCAGCGGUUAUAUGGCUUCAACUUUAAGAGUGGAUCAGGAGAGAAUAGUUCAGUUGUUGUAUCAAAUGUUUUGAGGAAAUCUCCAUCUGAUACUUGCCUACCUCGCCUAAACGAAGGUGAUGAGAUUUUAUCAAUUAACAACAACGAAGUUCGUGCAGUUAAACCAGAACAGAUCGAAAAGUUAAUUCAAGCUGCUGCUAACACGAGAGGCAAGAAGUUGUGUUGGAGAGUCCGACAAAGAGUAUAUGACAGAGAAGAAAGAAAGGACACCCUUAUCUCUCAAGUUUCCCAAAAAAAGUACGUUUCUCUUCCCUUACUGCGACGUGAUACUUUAAGUGAAUCAAUAGCGGUAAUUAGAGAAAGACUGGAGGACGAAUCGCUUAUAUUGAAGUUUGAGAGUAUCCACAGAAAACAAUCCGGAGAAACAACUAAUAUCGCAAAGUUAUCGGAGAAUGUACAGAAAAAUCGCUAUAGAGACAUUUCCCCGUAUGACACAACGAGAGUUGUUCUAGAAGACUGUAUCACAGGAGACUACAUAAACGCUAGUCAUAUAAAUAUGAUGAUACCAACCUCAAACAUUGUAAAUAGAUAUAUUGCCACACAAGGACCUUUACCAACCACAUGCAUUGAAUUCUGGCAAAUGGUGUGGGAACAGAAAUCGAAGUUAGUUGUUAUGGUUACAACCUUGCUAGAACGAGGUCGAACGAAAUGUCAUAAGUAUUGGCCAGAUAAACAUAAAACGGAAACAUUUGGUCAUUUGGAAGUCACCUGUAUAGUUGAAAUGGAAACGCCAUACCUUGUUCAUCGGGAAUUUUGUCUAAAAAAUAAACAGACAAAUACAGAAACGAAUGUUAUUCAAAUGCAGUACGUAGCGUGGCCUGACCACGGCGUUCCCAUUGAUGCCAGCGAUUUUCUCAGUUUUGUUUGGAAGGUGCGAGAGUACCGUGACGAGUGCUGGAAUUGGAAGAACUGGUGUUCUUAUCUUAAUGGAGACUGCAAUGUGCCUUAUUGAAGCCAAUGAACCAGUUUAUCCUAUACAAAUCGUCCUGGAGAUGCGAAGACAGAGAGCCAUGCUGAUCCAAACAACUAGUCAAUUCAAGUUUGUAUGUGAAGCUAUUGUAAGAGUUUUUAACGAUGGUACAGUAAAACCACUGGAAAAAUUCAAUGCAUUAGGAAAAGUGCUGGCAUCAAGAGAAGAC
rnacentral:misc_RNA from 1 species